rnacentral:rRNA from 1 species
UGGCGGCCUUAGCGCGGUGGUCCCACCUGACCCCAUGCCGAACUCAGAAGUGAAACGCCGUAGCGCCGAUGGUAGUAUGGGGUCUCCCCAUGCGAGAGUAGGGAACUGCCAGACA